rnacentral:rRNA from 1 species
UACGGAGGGUGCAAGCGUUAAUCGGAAUUACUGGGCUUAAAGCGCACGCAGGCGGCUUGUUAAGUCGGAUGUGAAAGCCCCGGGCUCAACCUGGGAAUGGCAUCUGAUACUGGGAAGCUAGAGUAUGUGAGAGGGGGGUAGAAUUCCAAGUGUAGCGGUGAAAUGCGUAGAGAUUUGGAGGAAUACCAGUGGCGAAGGCGGCCCCCUGGCACAAUACUGACGCUCAGGUGCGAAAGCGUGGGGAGCAAACAGG